ensembl:lncRNA
GUGGCAGAGGAAUAGAUGUUUGGCCUUUGCUUUUGGAGAGGUAGGGAUGGGAGAGGUCUGUGUGUGUGUGUGUACACAUAUAUAUAUACUUUUUAAUGUAUAAAUGCUUGCUACCCUUUGUGUGUUAUUUCAUUUAGUACACAGUCCUUUGCUGGGAUCUGUAGGUACAUAAUGAAACAUGGAGGUCCAGAUGUAUGAUAAAUCUCCUCUACUCCCUUCCCUGACUGCCUACGUGGGCAAUAGUUCAACAAUUUAGAAAUCUUUUUUUUUUUUUUUUUUGGAGGGAGGAAUUAUUGGGUGGGUAGUAGUUAGUGGGAAGGGAUGGGGUAUGCCCUUUUUAAAAGUGUAUAUAACUGUUUCCAUGUUACUGAUUUUAUACCUGGUCCUUUGGGUGGAUGUCAAGUUACCAAAUGCAAAUUGAGGAGAAGUGUCUGACAUCCUCCCCUUCUCUCCUUCCCCUUGUUGCCUGUGUGGUAACAGCAAGUAGAAGAGUUGCAUGUUCGCUUGUUUUAUAGAGAUUUAUAUUUUUGGCAGGGGAAUGUUCUUCAUGAAUGUUUUCAUUUGUUGCUUUAUUUUGUGUUUAGUCCUUUACAUGGCUAUGUAGGGAACUGAUGAAACUUGGCUCCCCUGGAUGCGCAGGUUACUUUCUUCCUUUCCCACGUAUUUGCUCCUUCAGCUGGAGCAAAAGAGUUACUAUUUUGUGGCUGUUUUUAUUCUCUCAGAUAUAUGCCUUUGAAGAUGUAAGUGUAUACAUGCACAUACAUGAUUUGCUUCUUUUCUUCCCCCAUUAUUUUCCUUGAAUAGUCCCUUGCGGGGCUCUGAGUGUAUCUAAUAAAAAAUGUCCCACCAGAUCCUUGCCAUCUGAGCUAAAGGUGUAGCACUGAGGUGGUAUAACUAAUGGCACCAGGCAUGUAGCCCGUAAGAUGGGAGAAGACGCUUGGAUACGGUUGAGUUGUGAGAGCUAAUCACAUCUAGCAGGGACCUGUUCUUUGGCAAUUCAGGCGUGGUUAAAUUUUUUUGCUGUUCAUCUCUCAGCAGCACUCAUUCAAACUCAUUUGAAGACCCUUGAGAGUAGCUCCUUUCUGAGGCCCUGGAUUCUAACUCAGUUGGCUCCAGUUCCAUCAGUUACAUAUUCUUCUGUACUCAGUAGAAAUCAUUUUGGGUUUUGGAGUGAAUCGUUUUGAGUUAUUGCCAUCAUUCUAGUAAAUGACAACAUGGGCCCCAAAACUAAUUCAAGAAGAAUUGGGGUGGCAAGCUCUUUGACUCCCAACACCUUGCACAUGGGAGGGCGAGUUGGCCCUUUACUCCCCAGAGCUCUUCUGCUUGGCUGCAUCCGUCUCCUCUCCCUUCUCCACUAGCUGAAGCAUUCCUGUUCAUUUCUCCUUUUUGUCUUCAGUGCUUGCACUGUUAGCUGUUAUCUUCAAGUGUCCUCGGAAAUGUGAGCCCAUGUUGCCUUUUUAGCUCUAUGUCUUUGCAUGCAUGUCAUACAUCCAGACCUGUGUGUGAACUUUCAGCGUUCUUCAGUGAUAUUUCACAUUGACUGUUCAUCCACCACAUGGUAAAUGUCACGACUCCAUAUUUAUCUGUCGCAAAGAAAACGCAUGUGGAAAAUCCAUCCAUCCCUCUCUUCCCUCCCUUCUGAGCACUGUUUUUUUUUUAUUCUGCAAUUUAUAACCAAUAUAAUGCUGAAGAUUUGCCAUACUGUUAUAGAAACAUUGAACGGUAGGACUCCUAGAAAAUUUGCAAAGAGAUGUUAUUCACCAUAUCAGACUCUCAGGUUCUAGUGAUGAAAAAUUUGCUUAUACUUUGCUGUUACUUAUACCUGCUGCUGUACGGAAAAUAAAAGUUUAUUCAUGCCACAUUUAACUUUGACCAUACAUAAAAGGGAGCGUCUUUUUGGAGUUAGUCAUGGUCAUAUUUAGUGGUACUUCUCAACAGUUCUUAAUUUGAAAUACUUCAAAGGAAGUAAACGUCAGGGCUUAGCUGAAUGAAUUGCUCCAGAACUUGAAGUGUAGAAAGCUUCAGUACAGUAACAUAUUCAUGUGUACAAAGUGACGAUUACAGCAGAAUUGGGACAUUUGCAUUAAUCAACAAACUCACAUUGAGACAAAACUGAAUCUUACAGCUUUCUUGAUUAAAGCCAAGUGUUCCGUGUUGCUGUGAAGAAUAGUCUCUCAAACACUUUGAAAAGUAGUUACUUCAAAACUUGUAAAGGUAUCACAUUUUUGUAUUUAAACACAGAGAUCUCCAAUUUCUUGAAUCUGAGCUUGUGGGUAGAAUUCUAAAUUUGUAUCAUAAUCUUGUCUUUUGUGAAAGAUUUUGAAAAUAGUAUGUAUAUAUAUAAUAUUAUAUAUGCAAAUUGUGUUUUGUCACUUGUAAAGGGAAAAGGCUUAUUUUUCUUUAUACUUCCGAUACCUUGUUUUGCAUAUGACCAGCACUGACUGAAAGGCAUGUGUACCUGCAAACACUGUUG